rnacentral:rRNA from 1 species
GAUGAACGCUGGCGGCGUGCCUAAUACAUGCAAGUCGAGCGAACAGACGAGGAGCUUGCUCCUCUGAUGUUAGCGGCGGACGGGUGAGUAACACGUGGAUAACCUACCUAUAAGACUGGGAUAACUUCGGGAAACCGGAGCUAAUACCGGAUAACAUGUUGAACCGCAUGGUUCAACAGUGAAAGACGGUCUUGCUGUCACUUAUAGAUGGAUCCGCGCCGCAUUAGCUAGUUGGUAAGGUAACGGCUUACCAAGGCAACGAUGCGUAGCCGACCUGAGAGGGUGAUCGGCCACACUGGAACGGAGACACGGUCCAGACUCCUACGGGAGGCAGCAGUAGGGAAUCCUCCGCAAUGGGCGAAAGCCUGACGGAGCAACGCCGCGUGAGUGAAGAAGGACUUCGGAUCGUAAAACUCUGUUAUUAGGGAAGAACAAAUGUGUAAGUAACUAUGCACGUCUUGACGGUACCUAAUCAGAAAGCCACGGCUAACUACGUGCCAGCAGCCGCCGUAA